rnacentral:SRP_RNA from 1 species
GCCGGGCGUGGUGGCACGCGCCUGUAGUCCCAGCUACUCGGGAGGCUGAGGUGGGAGGAUCGCUUGAGUCCAGGAGUUCUGGGCUGCAGUGCGCUAUGCCGAUCGAGUGUCCGCACUAAGUUCGGCAUCAAUAUGGUGACCUCCCGGGAGCGGGGGACCACGAGGUUGCCUAAGGAAGGGUGAACCGGCCCAGGUCGGAAACGGAGCAGGUCAAAACUCCCGUGCUGAUCAGUAGUGGGAUCGCGCCUGUGAAUAGCCACUGUACUCCAGCCUGGGCAACAUUGUGAGACCUUGUCUCU